rnacentral:tRNA from 1 species
GCCUGGGUGGCUCAGUCGGUUGAGCGCCCGACUUCGGCUCAGGUCAUGAUCUCACGGUGAGUUCAAGCCCCACAUCGGGCU